rnacentral:rRNA from 1 species
AUUCCAGCUCCAAUAGCCUACAUUAAAGUUGUUGCAGUUAAAAAGCUCGUAGUUGGAUUUCUGGUGUCGCAGUGCUUCCGCGUGUUUAAUUACAUGUCGAGUUGUGUUUGCGUCGCCAUCUUUUAGCAGCACCUUCCUGGCAUUAGGUUGUUGGGUUGGUAAUGCUAAUCGUUUACUGUGAAGAAAUUAGAGUGUUUCAAGCAAAAGUUAUUUGGAAUAUAUUAGUAUGGGAUGAUAAGAUAGGCUCUUGAGUGCUACUUUGUUGGUUAUACACUUAGAGAAUGAUUAACAGGGACAGUUGGGGGUAUUCAUAUUUACAUGUCAGAGGUGAAAUUCUUGGAUUUUGGAAAGAUGAACUACUGCGAAGGCAUUUACCAAGGAUGUUUUCAUUG